AACGCUGGCGGCGUGCCUAAUACAUGCAAGUCGAACGGUCUUUUCUAUGGAAGCUUGCUUCCACUGAGAAGAUAGUGGCGAACGGGUGAGUAACACGUGGGUAACCUACCCAUAAGAGGGGGAUAACAUCCGGAAACGGGUGCUAAUACCGCAUAGUUUUCUUGAUCGCAUGAUCGGGAAAGGAAAGACGGCCUUUGUGCUGUCGCUUAUGGAUGGACCCGCGGCGUAUUAGUUAGUUGGUGAGGUAACGGCUCACCAAGACGAUGAUACGUAGCCGACCUGAGAGGGUGAUCGGCCACAUUGGGACUGAGACACGGCCCAAACUCCUACGGGAGGCAGCAGUAGGGAAUCUUCCGCAAUGGGACGAAAGUCUGACGGAGCAACGCCGCGUGAGUGAAGAAGGUUUUCGGAUCGUAAAAACUCUGUUGUCAGAGAAGAACAAGUUGGAGAGUAACUGCUCCAGCCUUGACGGUAUCUGACCAGAAAGCCACGGCUAACUACGUG
rnacentral:rRNA from 1 species